GGGGCAUUCUUCGCACCAAUCUUCGCCAACCCCGCUGGCUCCCCGCCUCCUCCAGUCCUUCGAGCCCUUUCGAGGGGAUCUUCCGUCGGGGCCUCUGCCCCGGAGGCCAAUCCUAAGAGGAUGCUGUGGAUCGAGAGGAGUAGGAGGGGGAAGGCAGCGGUCUGCAAGUUCAGCAGCCGCCGAACCGUCACUAAGGAUUCCCA
rnacentral:lncRNA from 1 species